rnacentral:lncRNA from 1 species
AUAGCUCCCUUCCUCAUCAUCACCAGAACCAGAACGGUUCCUGCGCUGCUCAUUAUCAUCAUCAUCAUCGUCAUUGCGACGACCAUAGCUAGGCUUCCUGUAACUCCCCUCUUCCUGUUCCUCAGACCUUCCAUAGCUAGGCUUCCUGUAACUCCCUUCCUCCUGAUCCUCAGAUCUUCCAUAGCUAGGCUUAAUGUAACUCUCCACCUGUUCCUCAGACCCUCCAUAACUUGGUUUCCUGUAACUACCUUCCUCCUGAUCCUCAGAUCUCCCAUAGCUAGGCUUCCUGUAACCUUCCUCUUGAUCCUCAGAUCUCCCAUAGCUAGGCUUCCUGUAACCUUCCUCUUGUUCCUCAGAUCUUCCAUAGCUAGGCUUCCUGUAGCCUUCCUCUUGAUCCUCAGAUCUUCCAUAGCUAGGCUUCCUGUAACUUCCUUCUUCCUGAUCCUCAGAUCUUCCAUAGCUAGGUUUCUUGUAACCUUCCUCUUGUUCCUCAGACCUUCCAUAGCUAGGCUUCCUGUAACCUUCUUCUUGUUCCUCAGACCUACCAUAGCUAGGCUUACGCUCAUACUCAGACUCUGAUCUGCCACCAUAUCCAGAUCCAAGACCCGAUUCAGGUCUCCUCCCAUACUCAACCUCAGUUCUUCCACCACCAGAUCCAUACUCCGAUUGAUUCUCCGUUCUACCACCAUAACUCUGCUCAGGUCUCCGACCAUACUCCGUCUCAGUUUCACCACCAUAUCCAGAUUCAGGCCUCCUACCAUACUCACUCUCCGUCUGACCACCAUAACCAGAUCCAGAUCCAUAACCAGGAUUCGGCCUCUCACCUUGAACAUGACCGCCACCACCUGAAUCGGGUCGAAAUGCGG